CGGCCUCACACCCGGGGCGGGUUUUUUUGGGGGGGAAAAAGAUCUGACGGCUGUGACUAUCCAAAAAAAAACUUUGAAGGAUACUUCACAGAAUAAUCUGAGUUUCCAGGCUACAACCCAAAGCAGAGUGCCAAGAAUGUGCAAGGCAAAAGCUUUCAGAGCAGAUUGAACUGCGACUGAUGUUUAUCCUUGAAGGAAUCUGCAAAUGAAGAUCUAUGAAGGCUCUCUUUAAAGGCACGGUGGAGAACUCACUUGGGUUCCCGGGAAAUGGAAGCCUAUCCUUGCAGCUGAAGCUUCUGGCUAAAUACUUAAUCUAUUACAUUAGAAUGUGUUAUUCAAAAGGAACUGGAAUCGUUGUAAUCCUAAUUCCAGGAUUGCAAAAAUUUCAAGCCACAGAACUUAAAUCUUCUGUUUCUCCACUAAUAUCUUGGAAGUGUGUUACAAAGUCAAAAUUAAAAUAUAUUUGCAUUUGAAA